rnacentral:rRNA from 1 species
AUUGAACGCUGGCGGCAUGCCUUACACAUGCAAGUCGAACGGUAACAGGUCUUCGGAUGCUGACGAGUGGCGAACGGGUGAGUAAUACAUCGGAACGUGCCUAGUAGUGGGGGAUAACUACUCGAAAGAGUGGCUAAUACCGCAUGAGAUCUACGGAUGAAAGCAGGGGAUCGCAAGACCUUGUGCUACUAGAGCGGCCGAUGGCAGAUUAGGGAGUUGGUGGGAUAAAAGCUUACCAAGCCGACGAUCUGUAGCUGGUCUGAGAGGACGAUCAGCCACACUGGGACUGAGACCCGGCCCAGACUCCUACGGGAGGCAGCAGUGGGGAAUUUUGGACAAUGGGCGAGAGCCUGAUCCAGCAAUGCCGCGUGCAGGAUGAAGGCCUUCGGGUUGUAAACUGCUUUUGUGCGGAACGAAAAGCCCUGGGUUAAUACCCUGGGGUCAUGACGGUACCGUAAGAAUAAGCACCGGCUAACUACGUGCCAGCAGCCGCCGUAAAAC